rnacentral:rRNA from 1 species
ACUGUGGAGUGUAUAGAAGUGAGAAUGCCGGAAUGAGUAGCGCGAAUGCAGUGAGAAUCUGCAUGGCCGGAAGCCUCAGGUUUCUGGAGGAAGGUUCGUCCGCUCCAGGUCAGUCGGGAGCUAAGGUGAGGCCUAACGGCGUAGCCGAUGCACAGACGGUAGAGACUCCGUCACCACCAAAAGAGUUAAACACAGGGACACAUAUGAAGUCUCGGAGCCGGGUGUUGGUUCCGGUAGCGAUCGAGGGAAGUUAGUACCGAAGUCCGGGAUGGAAGAUGGCGAGAAAAGCUGUGUGUAUUUCUGCGGUGCCCGUACCGCAAACCGACACAGGUAGGUAGGAAGAAGAUUCUAAGGCCAACGGGAGAAGGGUUGUUAAGGAACUCGGCAAAUUGACCCCGUAACUUCGGGAGAAGGGGUGCUGCAGCAAUGCAGCCGCAGAGAAUCGGCCCAAGCAACUGUUUACCAAAAACACAGGUUUGUGCUAAAUCGAAAGAUGACGUAUACGAGCUGACGCCUGCCCGGUGCUGGAAGGUUAAGAGGAGAUGUGCAAGCAUUGAAUCGAAGCCCCAGUGAACGGCGGCCGUAACAAUAACGGUCCUAAGGUAGCGAAAUUCCUUGUCAGGUAAGUUCUGACCCGCAUGAAAGGCGUAAUGAUUUGGGCACUGUCUCAACAGCCCGCCCGGCGAAAUUGUAGUACCGGUGAAGAUGCCGGUUACCCGCGACAAGACGGAAAGACCCCAUGGAGCUUUACCGUAGCCUAAUAUUGGGUUUCGAUGUUGCAUGCACAGGAUAGAUGGGACUCUGGGAAGCAGGUGCUUUGGCGCUGGUGGAGAGGCCGUUGGGAUACCAUCCUUGCGAUAUUGGAAUUCUAACCUGCGCCUUUGAAUCAAGGCGGGGGACAUUGUUAGGUGGGCAGUUUGACUGGGGCGGUCGCCUCCUAAAGAGUAACGGAGGCGUUCAAAGGUUCGCUCAGCUUGAACGGAAAUCAAGCAAAAGAGUGCAAACGCAGAAGCGAGCCUAACUGCGAGACUGACGGGUCGAGCAGUAACGAAAGUUGGAGUUAGUGAUCCGGUGGUAUGUGAGUGGAAUGCCAUCGCUCAACGGAUAAAAGUUACCCUGGGGAUAACAUGCUGAUCUCCCCCAAGAGUCCACAUCGACGGGGAGGUUUGGCACCUCGAUGUCGGCUCAUCGCAUCCUGGGGCUGUAUUCGGUCCCAAGGGUUUGGCUGUUCGCCAAUUAAAGCGGUACGCGAGCUGGGUUCAGAACGUCGUGAGACAGUUCGGUCCCUAUCUGUCGUGGGCGCAGGAUAUUUGAUGGGAGCUGUUCCUAGUACGAGAGGACCGGAGCGGACGUACCUCUGGCGCACCAGUUGUUCUGCCAAGAGCAUAGCUGGGCAACUAUGUACGGAUCGGAUAAACGCUGAAAGCAUCUAAGCGUGAAGCCGACCCAAAGAUAAGAUAUCCCAUUGUUUCAAACAAGUAAGACCCCUUGAAGACUACAAGGUUGAUAGGCACGAUGUGUAAGUGGAGCGAUCCAUUCAGCAAGCGUGUACUAAUAGGUCGAGGGCUUGACCG